ACUUUAAUUCCCUCACUCGCGGCAUCGGACCACCGGCGUGCCCCACCAUGUCAGACGCGGCAGUGGAUACCAGCUCCGAGAUCACCACCAAGGACUUGAAGGAGAAGAAGGAAGUUGUGGAGGAGGCAGAGAAUGGAAGAGAUAGGAGGAGGAAGAAGGUGACGGUGAGGAGGAGGAUGGAGAUGAAGAUGAGGAAGCUGAGGCUCCUAC
rnacentral:lncRNA from 1 species